UACGAAGGGGGCUAGCGUUGCUCGGAAUCACUGGGCGUAAAGCGCACGUAGGCGGAUCGUUAAGUCAGGGGUGAAAUCCUGGAGCUCAACUCCAGAACUGCCUUUGAUACUGGCGAUCUUGAGUUCGAGAGAGGUGAGUGGAACUGCGAGUGUAGAGGUGAAAUUCGUAGAUAUUCGCAAGAACACCAGUGGCGAAGGCGGCUCACUGGCUCGAUACUGACGCCGAGGUGCGAAAGCGUGGGGAGCAAACAGG
rnacentral:rRNA from 1 species